AAUACACUAUAAAUCCCGCGAUGCACUGCCAGCGUUUUCGCGCGUCAUUCGAGAGCCCGCGAGCGCGAGUCCUUGCCCACUCAUUCAUCAGCAUCCCUGUGGAGCACCUGUGGUCAACUGUCAGCUGCUACUCUCCCUAAAAAUGGCUAAACGAAAGGUGGACUUUGAAAACGGGUUUCCAAGGCACGUGGGAGGCAGAGUCCCAAAGCGAGGCAGAGGUCGCAAAAUCAGCCCGAGGGAGAAUUUUUCAAAAACUGCAUGAUGAAAGUGUGCGACGACUUGUGCCCAGAUAAAAGGCAAGUGUUUUCAAAUGUGAGCCUGAGCAGAAACACGGUUCCUGACCGUGUAAACAGCUUUCCACCGGUCUACAGCAACAGCUGGCGGGAAAGGGAAGAGAGUUCAUGGCGUACUCCCGAUAGCUGUGGCUGAGAGCAGCGACACUUCAGAUAUCGCCCAGCUGUGUGGACUCAAGUCUGUGCGUAACAGAAGAACUUUUGGGAUUAAGAUCAUUGCAUGGCACAACUACGGGGAAAGAUCUGUUUGAAGAGGUAUCCAGGUGUGUUAGUGAAGUGGGGCUGCCUUGGGAUAAACUUGUCAAAAGAGCGGAUUGGUGGAGAGGAUGCGGGAGGGAUACGGCGCAGGACACACAGGAGGCGUCUUACUGAUGAACACCUUCCCUCAAUCCUGAGGAUUUCCUCAGCUCGAAGCCUGACGCCUGACAGUGAUGAACUUGCAUCCAAGAUGAGACACCAAGUAUCUGGCUCAGACAUGUGAGCAUCCACCAGAGCAGUAAACUGAACUUUAAUGCGUGUUUCUUUUUUUUCUUGCUGCUACAGGACAUUUUGAUUUUUCUUAAAAGGAAAUUAUUUUGUGGCUGUUGUUGGCCUGUAGAAAAAUGUUGUCAGUUAAAAAUGAAUCCAGAAAAGCUGCAGGAAGAGCUUUAGAAAAUAAAUGCAACUGAUUUUUCUUGUAUUUAAUGUUCAAUGUUGUUGUUGUUUUUAGGUACAAACUGUCUUAUAAGCUUUGUCAGUUCCAGGUUCAAGUAUCGACUACUGUGCAUCACAGAGUGGCAAACUGAGCUUUAAUGCAUGUUUCAUUUUUGCACUUUUUUUCUUGCUGCUACAGACAAUUCAUUUUUCUUUUAAUUCUUUUUUUGCCUGUUGUUGGCCUGUGGGGAAAUGUUUUCAUUAGAAAUCACUAUGGAAAGCUCUGGACUGGACCGGUUAAAUAAAUGUUGUUAACGUUACGUUACCUUAGCUGAAGCAUCCGGUGGCAGCUCGUGGGCUGAAAUGAGGAUGCUCCGGUCCAGCACACAAUCAUCACACCUGACCUUCGUUAUAUCGAGAUAACGAAAUGAUUAAUUCGUUAUCACGAGAAAACGAUCUUUGUUAUAUCGAGAUAACGAAAUAAUAAGUCGUUAUAACGAGAAAACAGUGCCAAAAAAAAAAAGAAAAAAACUGCAAAAAUAAAAAAGGGGCGUGGCCGUUCUCGGCUUCCGUACCCUUGUGGUUUUGGGAUUUAUUAUUUUAUCUGUACUUUUGUGCAAUGAAGUUCAAGUGCGAUACAGAGAAUAAAAACUGAUUGGCUGAC